rnacentral:misc_RNA from 1 species
GAUGAAGAACGUAGCGAAAUGCGAUACUUGGUGUGAAUUGCAGAAUCCCGUGAACCAUCGAGUCUUUGAACGCAAGUUGCGCCCGAAGCCACUAGGCCGAGGGCACGCCUGCCUGGGCGUCACACGCCGUUGCCCCCCCAUCUACUCCUUCGGGAUUGCGGGGGGGCGGAUGAUGGCCUCCCGUGCGCCUAGCCGCGCGGUUGGCAUAAAUACCAAGUCCUCGGCGACGCACGCCACAACAAUCGGUGGUUGCGAAACCUCGGUUGCCCGUCGUGUGCGUUCGUCGCGCAUCGAGGGCUCGAAAAAAUGCUCGGCUCCGGCUGGGCUUUCAACGCGACCCCAGGUCAGGCGGGGUUACCCGCUGAAUUUAAGCAUAUCAAUAAGCGGGGA